rnacentral:rRNA from 1 species
GACGAACGCUGGCGGCGUGCUUAACACAUGCAAGUCGAACGGUGAACCGGUUUCGGCCGGGGAUCAGUGGCGAACGGGUGAGUAACACGUGGGCAACCUGCCCUGCACUCUGGGAUAAGCCCGGGAAACUGGGUCUAAUACCGGAUACGACUUCCCACCGCAUGGUGGGGGGUGGAAAGUUCCGGCGGUGCAGGAUGGGCCCGCGGCCUAUCAGCUUGUUGGUGGGGUAAUGGCCUACCAAGGCGACGACGGGUAGCCGGCCUGAGAGGGCGACCGGCCACACUGGGACUGAGACACGGCCCAGACUCCUACGGGAGGCAGCAGUGGGGAAUAUUGCGCAAUGGGCGAAAGCCUGACGCAGCGACGCCGCGUGAGGGAUGACGGCCUUCGGGUUGUAAACCUCUUUCAGCAGGGAAGAAGCGAAAGUGACGGUACCUGCAGAAGAAGCACCGGCUAACUACGUGCCAGCCGCCGCAGUAAAAC